ACGGGGGGUGCUAGCGUUGUUCGGAAUCACUGGGCGUAAAGCGCGCGUAGGCGGUUUGUUAAGUCAGAUGUGAAAUCCCCGGGCUCAACCUAGGAAGUGCAUCUGAAACUGGCAAGCUUGAGUACCGGAGAGGGAGGUAGAAUUCCAGGUGUAGCGGUGAAAUGCGUAGAGAUCUGGAGGAAUACCGGUGGCGAAGGCGGCCCCCUGGACGAAGACUGACGCUGAGGUGCGAAAGCGUGGGUAGCAAACAG
rnacentral:rRNA from 1 species